rnacentral:rRNA from 1 species
AGAGCGAACGCUGGCGGCAGGCUUAACACAUGCAAGUCGAGCGGGCGUAGCAAUACGUCAGCGGCAGACGGGUGAGUAACGCGUGGGAACAUACCUUUUGGUUCGGAACAACACAGGGAAACUUGUGCUAAUACCGGAUAAGCCCUUACGGGGAAAGAUUUAUCGCCGAAAGAUUGGCCCGCGUCUGAUUAGCUAGUUGGUGAGGUAAUGGCUCACCAAGGCGACGAUCAGUAGCUGGUCUGAGAGGAUGAUCAGCCACAUUGGGACUGAGACACGGCCCAAACUCCUACGGGAGGCAGCAGUGGGGAAUAUUGGACAAUGGGCGCAAGCCUGAUCCAGCCAUGCCGCGUGAGUGAUGAAGGCCCUAGGGUUGUAAAGCUCUUUCGCUCGGGACGAUAAUGACGGUACCGAGAUAAGAAGCCCGGCUAACUUCGCGCCAGCAGCCGC